AACCAAAUGUUAUUUAAUAUCUUAAAAAGUAACACAAUCCAAAAUGGAUAUUUCACACAACACUACAUAAACAACAUGAACACAAUAUUACCAUAUGGAGGGACUUUCAAAUAUAGACUUACAAAAAUCCCUGUGCUUUUUUUUUAAGUUAUUAUACUAAGCAUGACAAGUAAUCCUCAUUUACAAUAUGGUACACUGACACGAUAAAAAGCAUGUUACAAAUGUGCUGUUAUAAAUCAGUAACAUUAGGGAAGACAUUUCAUGAACUGUAAUUAUUUCAUAUGAAAUACUAUACAAUAUAAACAGAACAUCCAUCUUGGAUGACCUUUACAGCAACCAGAGACCAAGUCUCUUCUAGACAGUUGUAUCUAUGUCAACUACUCUAAGGACCUUAAUUUGUAGCUGUCAAUACUUACAUGAAGGUGACCCUAGGACAGCUCUAUUCCUAACCCAUCCUUGUGUGCACAGUACCACACACUGCUUUGCCCUUCUG
rnacentral:lncRNA from 1 species